CCCUGACUAGCCUUGUUGGUAGAGCAUGAGACUCAUAAUCACAGGAUAGUGGGUUUGUGUCCCAUGUUGGGUG
rnacentral:tRNA from 1 species